rnacentral:lncRNA from 1 species
GGGCAUCCCCUGAGACAACCUGGACACCCCCUGAGAGCCUGGGGGCACCCCCUGGGCACCCCCUGGGCACCCGGGAGUACCUGGGGACCCCCCCUGUGCCAGCCUGGGGACGCCGGUGUCACCCUCUGAGCCCCUGUGCCACCCUGGGGUCACCACUGCCACCCCCCGUGCCAGCCUGCGGACCCACCUGUCCCCCUGUGCCACCCCGAGGGCACCGCGGGGGUUGGUGCCAAUAAAGGUGCCAAGGAGCCGCUGCGGUGUCCCCUGGUGUCCCUUGGGGCCGGGCUGGGCGCGGUGCCAGGCGGGUGACAGGGACGCUGCUGUGGGCAAAGGUGCCAGGGCAGUGCCAGGGCAGUGCCCCCUUAUCUGUGCCCCCUUAUCUGUGCCCCCUUAUCUGUGCCCCCUGAUUGUCCCCAAGGCCACCGGGGCCAUAAACAGCGGGACAAGGACACCCAGGGGUGGCACCUCUGGGGGCACUGCAGGGACUGGCACAGGCUGGGGGGGGGCGGGUGUGGCACUGCCCCGCCCUGGUGACAUCGGGGACAGGCGGGCACCGAGCGGGGACAGAGGGCACCGGGUGGCACUGGCACACUGGGAUGGCACAGCACUGGCACACAGGGAUGGCACCAGGAUGGCACUGUCACACAGGGAUGGCACAGCACUGUCACACAGGGGUGGCACAGCACUGGCACACGGGGAUGGCACCAGGAUGGCACUGGCACACAGGGGUGGCACUGGCACACGGGGAUGGCACUGGCACACGGGGAUGGCACCAGGAUGGCACUGGCACACGGGGAUGGCACAGCACUGGCACACGAGGCUGGCACGACGCUGUCACAUGGGAUGGCACCAGGAUGGCACUGCCGCUAUCAGGAUGGCACUGUCGUACAAGGCGUGGCACUGGUACUGCCGGGAUGUCACCGGGACAGAGGGCACCGUGCUGACCCUGGCACCACCAGGACGGCGCCACGAUGGCUUUGGCACCGCCGGGAUGGCACCAGGGUGGCCCUGG